rnacentral:misc_RNA from 1 species
GCAAACUUGGUCAUUUAGAGGAAGUAAAAGUCGUAAUAAGGUUUCGUAGGUGAACCUGCGGAAGGAUCAUUAAAAGAUAGCUUUUGCUAUAUUUUAUUUACGUUGUGUGCAAACAAUGGAAAGAGAAUGGUAAGAACAUUUUCCCUUUCUUCCUGGAAGGGAGAUUGUUGCGGAAUUCUAUACAUUUGUAUAAACACCAUCAAAUUUUUUAAAAAAAAUAUUAUACAACUUUCAACAACGGAUCUCUUGCCUCUCGCAUCGAUGAAGAACGCAGC